UUAGACUGGGAAUCAACGCCGGCUAGAGAGGCGAGAUGCGUUAGUCAUGGAUCGGUAGGGUGGUAGGUGUGUUUAGGCAUAUCUUCAUAUUUCUGCCAUGCCGAUACCAUUCUCAAAAUCGAACUUCGGCCAAGGCCUCGACCAUCAAUGGCACAUGAUGAUGCAUGGUGAUGGCACAUGCAUCGACCAUCAUCGGCAUAGGCUGCCCUUGGGUACGGGCACUUGCCUCGAUCGCCAUCGGCACAAGCUAGGCCCUGGUGUGGGUUGUUGCCUCGAUCACCAUCAUGU
rnacentral:lncRNA from 1 species